rnacentral:rRNA from 1 species
CCUACGGGAGGCUGCAGUGGGGAAUAUUGGACAAUGGGCGAAAGCCUGAUCCAGCCAUGCCGCGUGUGUGAAGAAGGCCUUCGGGUUGUAAAGCACUUUCAGUGGGGAAGAAAGCCUUGGGGCUAAUACCCUCGAGGAAGGACAUCACCCACAGAAGAAGCACCGGCUAACUCCGUGCCAGCAGCCGCGGUAAUACGGAGGGUGCGAGCGUUAAUCGGAAUUACUGGGCGUAAAGCGCGCGUAGGCGGUCUGAUAAGCCGGUUGUGAAAGCCCCGGGCUCAACCCGGGAACGGCAUCCGGAACUGUCAGGCUAGAGUGCAGGAGAGGAAGGUAGAAUUCCCGGUGUAGCGGUGAAAUGCGUAGAGAUCGGGAGGAAUACCAGUGGCGAAGGCGGCCUUCUGGACUGACACUGACGCUGAGGUGCGAAAGCGUGGGUAGCAAACAGGAUUAGAUACCCGAGUAGUC